rnacentral:lncRNA from 1 species
GAAAAAUUUGAGAAAAUUAAACAAUAGAAAAAACACUAGUUCUUUCUUAUUUUAUUUUAUUUUUUUAUUUUAGUUUAGGUGAUUCAAGAGCAAUAGAAAAAUAAAUUUCUAAAUGGGGUUUUGAGUUAUUUACCAAGAACUAAACUGUAAAGAGCAUUAUUAGUUGAUUUUCUCCAAUAAAAUAUAUUUUAUUCAUCAUUCUUCUACCUAAAAACAAAAAAUCAAAUAUACAAUCCAAAGAACAAAACAUAAAUAAAGUUUCAAAGGGAAAUUUUAUAUAUUAUGGGAAAAUGUAAGAAAAAAAUGUUAAGGAAAAAGGUAGAAAAAAUGUCUAAAGAUUUUCCUCUUAAUUUUCAUUGAAUAGAGGUAGGAAAUAUGCAUUCAUCUUAAAUUUAAUAAUUUUCCCAUGGACAACCAAGCAAUCUUACAUUUUCUUUCCUUCUCUUUUUCCUCUUUCUCCCAUUUUCCUCAAGCUUUCCAUGAACAACCAAACAAUCUUAUAUUUUCUUUCCUUCUUUUUUUCCUCUUUCAAUCCUUCUCUCAAUCUUUCCAUGAACAAAUUAACAUAGUCUUCAUAUGUCUUCCUCUCUAUCUUUCUUUCUCUCACAACUCCUUCUCUCAUUUUCUUCACUCUUUCUAUCAAAGAUAUUUAACCGAACAGUUCUCACUUCUUGCCUUUUGCUAGCACCCAAAACAAUUCUCCUACUCUCACAGCUCCUUCCCUCAAUUUUCUUCCCUCCCUCUAUCAAAAAUCUUUAAUUGAACAACCCUUGUUCUCUUGUUUCCUCUUACCUAGAAAAUUCCCACCCUUUCUUCACACUUCUACUCUCCUAAAAGAAAAAUCCCAGCCUCUCUUCUCUUCAACGAAUCACCAUUUUUCACUCCCAAAACUAGCUCCAAAAUAACAAGGUAUAACUUGAACCAAAUGAAAUCAAACCACAAAAACUCAAACCAACUUGUGAAAUCAAUAAAACAUGAGGUAAUUCAUGCAUAGGUUAUGCAAAAUAUUAAAAUAUAAAAUAUUAAUCGAAUUACUAUUUUUACUUAUCAUAUAAUUGAGAAUAUAUGAUUAAAAAGUGUCAAAAGGAAGUUUUCUACCGUUCAAAUCCGAUCUUCACCGUUCAAAUUUAAGAUUAAUGACUUAUGAACCUCUCCUCCAAAUUUCAGCUCAAUCAGACCAUGAACAAAGCGGCAUCGGACCUUUGAUGAAAUCUGGGCAUGAUGUAAAAAACCACUGUUUUUCUCUCUUCUCCUCUUUCUCUCUAAUGACUGUCCAAAACUCCAAAUCCGAUCUCCACCGUUAUAUUGAAGAUACAUGAGCCACGAACCGCUCCUUCAAAUUUCAACUCGAUCGGACCACGGAUGAAGCAGGAUCGGACAUUUGAUGAAAUCUGGGCAUGAUGAGAAAAACCUGCGUUUUUCUCUCUUCUCCUCUCUCUUUAUAAUGACUUUCCGAAACUCCAAAUCAGAUCUUCACCGUUCAGAUUGAAGAUAAAUGAGUCACGAAACUCUCCUCCAAAUUUCAGCUCAAUCGGACCAUGGACGAAGUGGGAUCGGACCUUUGAUGAAAUCUGGGCAUGAUGAGAAAAACUUGUGUUUUUCUCUCUUCUCUUCUUUCUCACUAAAAACCGUGGCUCUCUCCCUUCUUUCUUGUCUUCCAAAAGUUAGGGUUUUCAAUGGAGACUUUAUAACAAAUUCUAAAAUACCAUGCAUGUCCUUUUUCAAUAAAUUAAAAAUAGUAUUCUUUAUUUCAUCUUCCAAUAAUAAUUUUUAUAUAUUGAACUCAUAAUGAAUUUAUAUUGUUUAAUUAUUUGAUAUUUUAGGUUGAUGUUGGUUUAAUUUGAAUAUUGAUAUUUUAAAAAAAAACUAAUUUAAUAGAAUGAGCUUAAUUCUCAUAAAUAUUAGAAAAUUUUUAUAAAUAUUCUUAUUGCAUUUAGUUUUAUUGUGAGUCUAAUCAUCAUUAAAUUAAUUUAAAUAUUAAUUUAUUUCAUUUUAGUUAAAUAAUUUCAAAUUAUAUUCAUUAACUAUAAAACCUUCUCAAAUAAAAGGGUUAAACCCAAUAAAUGUGGCCCAAGGCCCGAACAAGUGCUCAAAAUAGGCCACUUUUUUGUGGUCCACAAAUAAAUUAACAAAUUAUUUUUAAAUGAAAUAUAAGAUAAUUUCUAAUUUAAUAAAAAUGAAAAAUAGUUUAUGAAAAUAGAUUGUAUUGAUACAAACUAUAAAAAAAUUAAUAUCAAAUAAUAAAAAAAAUAAUUUAUUAGGAUUUUAUUUUAUUUAUAUCCAAUUUUUAAAAAAAAACCUUAAUGUAGCAACUUUAUGUCAUUAAUAUUAAUGUCAAUUUACCAUAAUUAAUUUAUAGAAUAAAAUUCUAAUAUCAAAAUUUGUAUAAGUUAACUUAAAAACAAAAAUUUUAAAAGUCAAUACAACUAUGACACUUAUCAGGAACAUCAUUACAUACCCAUCAAAUAAUGAUGCUUAUAAUAAGUAUCAAGGUAAAUAAUAAAACUAUGAUACUUCUUAUAAGCGUCAUUAUAUACACAGUUAUAAGGAAAAAGAUGACAUCAAAUAAUGACACUUAUAAUAAGUAUCAAGAUAAAUAAUACAACUAUGACACUUCUUAUAAGCGUCAUUGUAUACCCUCAAUAAUGACACUUUUAGAAAGCGUCAUAAAAUAAAGCGUCAUUAAUUUCAAUUUUUGUAGUAGUGGAUAUUACUUUUAACCAUGGAAAAGUUUCAAAAUUGUAAGAAAAGUUAAUUCUAAGACAAUGUUGAUGAUGUAGCAAAAUUCCCAAUACAAAGAGAUCUAUGGAACGCUUCUUGUUCUGAGUCAAGGCUUUUCUUCACACUACCUCAAGUUGGACUUGGAUGCUCUAUCUAGCCUUAUAGAGAUAAGCUUGGAAACAAAUCAAGUAUCUAGAUAUAAGCAUGACACAAAGUUGGGGGUGUCUUUGGGACCAUCUUUGAGUAAAGUGGCUUUUCCAUCACAAAUAGUAUCUUUGGUUCCACAGUAUGUAGUAGUUAAUGAAUCAGAGGAAGUUAUCAUGGUCUGUCAAUGUCAUUUUGGGGUUUUUUUCUCAAUUUAUCAAAUGUGAAGUUUUUUUUUUUUUUAUGUUUGAAUAAUAUUUUGACUCAUCUUCUAACCAAUUUUGCUUGAAAAUGAUGACAUGGAACACAUGAUCUAUAUCAACAUUGGACAUGCAGAAAACAUCAGGGAUGGGAUCAAGCAAGAAGAGCGAAUAUAGCCUCUUUGACACCUUUAUCAAAAAACAUAGAAAUGUUAAUGAUGAUUCAUUAAUAUUUGUCCAGUUUCAGCUGAAAGACAUUGGAUUGGGUUGGUCAAGGCCAAUAUGUAUUACUUCAAGGAAUCCUUAGAUGUUCCAAUAUUGCUCUCAAAUCUAACACCAUAAGACAACUUUGAAAGAGUUUGCGAUUGUUCAUGUGGUAGAGAGAGGUUCUAAUCUUGUUUUGUAUUUCCAAAAAUUAAUUUUCCAUAUCGGAUUGAGAAUUGCUUGCAUGAAGCAUCAAUCACUUACUAUCAAAACGUUGUGUUGUUAUUCCUACACACUUAAUAUUCAAUUACUAAUUUAUUGGAUGAAAAUUUGAGAAAUAUUUAUGUGUUUAUGUAUUAUAAUCACAAUUUUUCUAUUAUUUUUCGGAAUUUUUAGGAUUUAGAGGAGCCUAAGAUCAUUGGGUUUGGAAGUAGUGUUGAUUAUGUUUGGGAUGUUUGACUAUUCCACAUAAAUUAGUUGUCAAAAUUGAUGGUAAUUACCCUCUUGUUGUUUUGUUUUGUUUAUUCAUGGCAAUUUAUACAUUUACUACCACCAAUCAGAUAGCAGAUUCAAUAGGCUUAUGGUUUUGUAGAUAUUCAUGUAUUACGUGAAAUUAACUUGGACAAGGUGCGAGCAUGGAAGCCUUUCUUUAAAAGCUAGCAACAUAGAAGGUUUCCAUUUCAUUUACCAUUGGAUAAUAGGCUAAGAGACUAGAGAAGAACUAAUUUUAGUGGAUUAAAUGGUAUUGAGAUUAUAAAGGUGGGGUAUGAAGUAUAUGCAGAUGGUUCCAUGUGGGUUUUGCGAAUCCAUGAAUUUCCUAACAAUUACAAGGGAGAUGAAGAGUUCCAUUCAUGUGCAAAGAUUUAACUAAGAGUUCCCUAUUUUGCAAUGCACUUACUUGAACAUGGAAAGCUGGUCAGUUUCAAGUUAUAUCAAUUUGGUUGUCACUGAACACUAGCUCUUAUUCAUUUACUGUUUUGACAUUUUCUCAUUCAUGCUCUCACCAAUCUUUAAAAGAUUUGAAAUCUAGCUCUAUAGAUGUUGUAAACUAACUUCUAUAUCUUUUUUCCUGCAAUGAAGUUGGUUAUAACCAUUAAACUUCUUCAUUUUUUUUCUCUAAUAGAUAAUGCGUUUUUUUUAUCUUCUUUCAUUUUUUUCUUCUUUUUUCUUUGGUCUUUGUUUGUUUUUUUUCCAUUACUUGGAAUGGAACUUAAAACUUCCCUUUACCCAUUCCAAUCCAUUUCCACUUAAGUCGGAUUUCAAGGGCACAACUAUUGUUGAACUUUUUGCUUACUCAAAACUUGGUAUACAUACCAUUGCAUUCGGUGUUCCUUUUUUUUUUUUCAAUAAGUAGGAUAUAUAUGCACUAACAUUGCUUUGGAAUAUCCCUACGAAGCCAUCGAAUUAUGCUAUUUACAUCAAUCUUAAGAUGAUAUGACAUUUGGGUAUGUUAAUUAUGCUAAUCUUCCCUACUCUAUAUGUGUUGAAUUUGACUCUCCAAAUAACAGUUUGCUAGGAUUCUUUCCUCCCCCCCAUCUUCCCUCUUGGACUGUCAAUCUUUGAACUUGCGACUUUUGAUAUCCAACGUUGACCAUUUCUGAUUUGUGCAUGUUGGUAUUUAUGUUAAUUGAAAGGGCAAAAUAAAACCCUUUUUAUUCUUGACUAAUUGUUUCCAAUUCAUUGAUUCUUAUCAUUUUUUAAUUUGAAGGAACCUAUGAAAAAAAAAUCAGGACAUACAAAAUUUAAUGUCUAAUUUUGGGUUAAAUGGUGCAUCCUGAUUCUUUUCUAGUACUUUGGAUUUAUAUGUUUUAAAGUUGGAGAAUUUUAUAUUUCUAAGCAAUGAUAAUAUUCAGUUUUCUUAAACGAGAACAUCGUACACUACAUAUACAACAAGCCAUAAAAAGUAACAAUAUUGUUAAAAUUUACAUAUUUAUGUGUAUAAGUUGUGCAUACAUGUUUGUGUAUGCAUGUCUUAAUAUUUUGGUAGACAUGUCACAGUAACCAAAAAUUGAUAAAUUUAUUGUUCACACAUUUAUUUCAUUUUUCUUGAAAUCUAAUAUUUUAGUAAAUUUGGUUAAAAUGAUUGUAAAACUGGUGCCCAACAAUUUAUUGAAAUAAAAAUAAUAAUAAUAGUAAAACUAGUGGAAAGAUAUAUAAUACCUUAUGACCCCAUAAGCACUAGUUUCUAUCAUUUCAAUUUUUUUUUUAAAUAGUUAACAAUCAUGCCCCUUCAUUUUUUUACCUUGUGAUCAGUUGGCAAGGACAUUGGUGUAGACAAAUAUUCAAUGUUUGUACACAUGCUUCAAGCACUUGUGAUUCCUUUUAUUGGAAAUGUUUGUUGUGUAUUUAUGCAUGGCCUUAAUCGUGUCUAAGUAUGUGGAAGUGUGUUUGGUAUUGAACUCAUAAUUAUAUUCGUUUCAUCAACUUCUCUCCUUCCCUGUUUAGUUAGUUUUGAGAUUUAAAAGGAUGGAUUUGUAUUGGUUGGCAUCAUAGGUAUAUGGUGAAGAAAAGUUGCAAGAAGCAUUGCUGCAUAUAUAGACCAAAAAAUAAGCCUCUUAUAACGGUAUGAAGGAAAAUAAUUGAGAGGAUUUAAGAGAAAGCAUUCAUAGUUACUUUGUUUCUCAUGUCCACCAUAUCAUUAUUUUUACCCUAUUAGACCUAAAACCAUUCAUUCCUAUUCUAGGUGGUGUUGAUUGUUUUUUUUUUAUUAUUAUAGCUAAGCAAUCAUGUUGCUUCCAUGGAUGAUCCACUUGUUAUUGCUUCAUUACUUCCACCAAGUGCUCUAUUGAAUGCUCAAAGCUUGAGAUGGACAAUGUGUGCAACUGAUCGAUGUUUUAAGAAUCCAAUGACUCAUGCCUUUUUUCGAUGUGUCAAAGUUUUGCCAGUUUCUCUUGGUGAUGGGAUUUACCAAACGGUACCUCUUUCUGUAUGUCCUUUUGUCUGUCUAGUAAUUAUAUAAUUUUCAAAAGUUGAUUAAGAGCUACAUAAUGGAUGACUUAAAUAUGAAAGCAGAUAUUACCCUUUAGAAGUUUUCUAUUAUAAAAAGUCCAUGUUUGGUGUGCUAUUUACAAGUAGUUAGUAGUUGUUUCGUUAAUGUACUUAUUGAAUACAAAAGGAAUAUCGAAAGAAAAUGCUUAAAUAAUUUACUGGUUAAAAAGAUUGUAUAUCUAAUUUUCUUUAUUCUAUUUUUUUUUAAUAUGGUUUGAACCUUUAUUGUUGUGUACCUGAGGUCAAUAAAGGUUGUGUGAAACCAAGGUUGGUUAAUCUCAGUUUUGAUGAUAACAAAACAAAGUUUGUAACUAAUGAUUAUAUUUCAAGUGUGAUUAGGCAAGAAGAUUUCUAAAGUGGCAAUCAAAAAGACAAAAUCAAGUCAAAGGGAAAUCAAUAAGCAGAAGUAAAAUUUUUAAAAAAAGUGUUUUUCAAUACCUAAGCUUCAUAGAAUCUCUUUGUAAGGUUGUUGGUGCACUAGGUUUUUUCAUGUAUUACAUUCUUUAUUUAAGCACCAAAAUAUCCAAGAAUUAUUUUGUUUUAAAUUUUUUAAAAUUGAAUGAUUUUAUGUUUUCAAUUAAAACCUUGUGUCAAAUGAAUUCUAAUCUUGUUUAAAAGGUUUUAAGUUGAAAAUGAUGGUUGUAGAGCCAAACAUGGCUCAACCGGUUGAACAAGAUGAGGAAUCGAUCGACCUGUUCAGCUCAACCGAUUGAACGCUGCAAAAACCUUAUCUAUUUUUUAGAAUGUUUGUUCAAUCGGUUGGGGUUGAACCUCAACUAAUCGAGGUUUGAUCGAGGUUCGAUCAAGGGGCGGUCGAGGUCUAACGGUCACCUGUCAAGCAUUAAAUGCUAACGACUAGUCAACCGAUCAAACCAAAGCUCCACCAGACGAACCCCCAACAGGCUAGUUUGGCUUCUUCUUCUUUUCUUUAUAAAAGGCUCUAAUCUUCAUUGUUUCAACAAUUUAACCUUCCAAAACAUUUCUUGAAUAUAUUUGAGUCUUAGGAGAGUGUUUUUUAGUGCACCAUUGUUCUAAAACUUGCAUAUCAUUAGUGCACUUUUCAAUCCUAGUUUUUCUUGAACAUUUGGGCCUAAAGUUUUAUACUAGAAUUUUAUGAAAUUAUUUGUAAAUCUUUGAGAGGAAAAAUCUAAGUGUGAGAUAUCAUUUAGGGAUCCUCGAGCGUGGAGUAUCAGUUGAUGGGUUGUUCAAGAGUGGGGUAUCUCUUAAGAAUUGUAAAGGGUGCUUAGAGCCAAAAGUCCAAAAUGGUGGAUUGGAACCAUAAUUCAAUUGUAUUGCUUGAAGGUUUGGUCUGGAAGCCUUGAAAUAGUGAAACCUCAAGCUUGGGAUUGACGAUAGAGGAGAGUGAACGUAGGUCGGGUUGCAUCGAACCACUAUAAAAAUCUUGUGUUUGCAUUCUCUUUUCCCUACUCAUUUACUUUAUACACAAUUUUCUUUAUAUUGUUUUAUAAUAUAUUUGCAUAUAAUUGUCUUUUGCAUUCAUAUAAUUUAAAUUUACAAAAAGAGACCAUCACUCUAUUCACUCCACCUCUAGGGUGAUUACCUUAGGUUGUAUUAGCCUAAUUUUUUCCAACAAUUGGUAUUAGAGCUAGGCCUCUUGUUUAAGACUUAACCAUUUAGGAGGUAAUGACUAAUCCAUCAAGCUCAUCUCACAUUGAAAGUUUUCCAACCACCCGACCUCCAUUUUUUACGGGAACCAAUUAUUUCUAUUGGAAAACAAAAAUGACUUGGUUUUUAAAAUCUACUAAUCUUGAUCUAUGGGAUGUCAUUGAAGAUGGUCCUCGUAUUCCUUUUAAAUUGGAAAAUGGAUUGAUGGUUCCAAAACUUAAGCAAGAAUGGAAUGAACUUGAUAAAAAGAAAGUUCAAUUAAAUGUCAAAGAGGUUUAUAUCUUACAUUGUGCUAUUGAUAUAAAUGAAUUUAAUCGUGUUUGGUAGUGUCAGUCGGCUAGAGAAAUUUGGAGACUAUUAGAAAUCACUCAUGAGGGAACCAACCAAGUUAAAGAGUCUAGAAUCAACAUCCUUGCGCAUGAUUAUGAAUUAUUUUCUAUGAAGGAUUUUGAAUCUAUUGUAGAGAUGUUUUCUAGGUUCAUGGUGAUUGUGAAUGAACUUGAAGCCUUGGAAAAUACCUACACUGAAGUAGAGAAAGUCAUAAAGAUCUUGAGGUCUCUACCAAAAAAAUGGGAAACAAAAGUGAUGGUUAUUCAAGAAGCAAAGGAUGUCACCAAACUCCCACUUGAAAAACUCAUUGGGCCACUCAUGACUCAUGAGAUAAAUUGAACAAUCAUCAAAGAGUUGAAGAAAAUAAGAAAAAUAUAGCAUAUAAGGUCUCAACAAAUGAUGAUGAAGAGGAAGAGUGUGAAAAUGAAAACUUUGAUCUCAUCACCAAGAAAUUCAUGAAGUCCAUCAAGCUUGAGAAGAUCAAGGAAAAAAGAAAAUCUCAUUCAAAAGAAGAAUCUUCAAGUUCCAAAAAGAAUAAGAAAGGCAUGGUGGCAACAUGGAGUGAAAGUGAAAGUGAUGAAGAUUCCAUGGAAGAAGAAUGUACAAAUGAGGAUGUCAACAUGUGCUUCAUGACUUUGAAGGAACAUGAAGAUGAGGUAAAUUCCAACUCUAACUAUAAUGAGUUUCAAGAUAUACUUCAAGAAUUAUAUUUUGAUCUUGAAAAACUUGGGUUCAAAAAGGUCUCUCUUAAGAAAAAGAUUUCUUCUCUUCAAAAUGAGCUCAAUGAGUUUAAAGAAAAAUUUGAAAAUAUUGAGAAGGCAAAAAUCUCUUUUGAAAAGGAAAAUGAGGAGUUGAAAAAGAAAAACUAAUCGUUAAUAUCCUCUCUACAAAAGUUCUCAAACAAUUAAAAGACUUUUGAUAUGAUUUUGGCAAGUCAAAAAUACAUUUUUUAUAAAAAGAGGCUAGGUUACAAGCCUUUUAAAAAUAAAAUAAAAUAAAUAUUUUAAGAAUUAUUUUAUAAAGGAAACCUCUAGUUUUUCACUUUCAACCAUUUGCAAUCUUUGUGAAGGAUGAGGUCACAUUAGUGAUAUUUGUCCCUUAAGAAAUCCUUUCAUAUUCUUCAAAACUUUAAAUUAUUUUGGAUUCUAAAUGGAGGAAAGACUAACCCUUAAGGACCCAAAAAGAUAUGGGUACCAAAGGUUACUUAAUUUGUUUUGUAGGAAUCCAUGCAAGAAGAAGAAUGAUAUGUUUACCUUGGAAAGAAUACAUUGAUAAUAUUGGUAAUGGUAUUCCCUCUAAAGCUUAAUUUGCAAUAUCCUUUUAUCAUUUUGCUAACACUUGGUAUGAUUUUUGUUAAUAAUAUAACUUUUCGUUUCACAUUAAUAAAAUUGAUAUAAUGUGAAACUGAAUUGAAUGAUCAUAUGCUUGUAUGCUCUAAUAGUGUUAUUCAAUGCUUGCAUGUAUGCUUGUAUCUUUUUAAAUGCAUAUGUUCUCCCAUAUAUCUUUCCAAAUCAUGCUUUAAAUUGGGAAUGCUCCAAGGUUGAGCAAUCUUUUAUUUGGAAAAUGUUCUUAAAUGAAAAAAUGGGAGAUUCAUUUCCAUGAGAAAUUACAUUAUGCUUAUUGUUUAUUUUUAACUUUUGAUAUUAUGUGAUUCUCCUUAUAUGAUUUAUUGAGACUUUUUGUGGAUGACAAAAAAUGGGGAGAAGUAAUGACAGGUUGCCAACUUGGGAAGAAAUGUUAAUAUUGUUUUAGAAAUCCUAUCCAUAUUAAUGUUAUGUACUUUAUUGGUUAUAAUUGCAUGCAUCAUUUUUAAUAAUAAUAUCUUGCCAAUUGCUAAAUUGCUUUUUAUGCUAUUUAUGUUUGAUUAUAUCAUUUUGAGCACAUUUAAUAUACUACUUGAAGUUUCUAAACUUGAAUAUUUUUUUAAAAUUUAAAUGAGCAUAUAUUGAGGGGGAACUUUUUAGAAACCUUGGUUUGUCAUCAUCAAAAAACGGGAAAUUAUGAAACCAAGGUUUAGUUCAUCUCGGUUUUGAUGAUAACAAAACAAGGUUUGAAACUAAUGAUUAUAUUUCAAGUGUGAUUAGAUAAGAAGAUUUCCAAAGUGGCAAUUGAAAAGACAAAAUCAAGUUAAAGGGAAAUCAACAAGAAGAAAAAGACCUCAAAGAUAAGUGUUUUUGUUUUAAAUAUUUUAAAAUUGGAUGAUUUCAUGUCUUUCAUUAAAACUUUGUGUCAAAUGUUUUAUAAUCUUGUUUAAAAGGUUUUAAGUUGAAAAUGAUGAUUGUUAAGCCAAAAACGGCUCAACCGAUUGAAUUGAAUGAGGAAUAAGUCAACCUAUUCAACUCAAUCGGUUGAGGGGUGCAAAAACCUUCUCUUUUUACCAGUUAAGGUCCGAUCGAGGGGCGGUCAAGGUCCAACAGUCACCUGCCAAGUAUUAAAUGUUAAUGACUAUCAACCGAUUGAACCGAUGUUCAACUGGACAAACCCCCAAUGGCUAGUUUGACUUCUUUUUUCUCUAUAAAAAGGCUCAAAUCUUCAUUGUUUCAACAACUUAACCUUCCAAAACAUUUAUUGAAUAUAUUUGAGUCUUAGGAGAGUGUUUUUUAGUGCACUGUUGUUCUAAAACUUACAUAUCAUUAGUACACCUUUCAAUCCUAGUUUUUCUUAUAAAUUUGAGCCUAAAGUUUUGUACUAGGAUUUUGUGAAAUUAUUUGUAAAUCUUUGAAAGGAAAAAAUCUAAAUAUGAGAUAUCACUUAGGGAUUCUCAAGCAUAGGGUAUUACUUAAGGGGUUGUUCAAGAGUGGGGUAUCUCUUGAGGAUUGUAAAGGGUGUUUGGAGCCAAAAGUAUAAGAUGGUGGAUUGGAACCAUAAUCCAAUUGUAUUGCUUAAAGGCUUGGUUUGGAAGCCUUGAAAUAGUGGAACCUCAAACUUAGGAUUGAAGCUAGAGGAGAGUGGAUGUAGGUCGGGUUGCACCAAACCACUAUAAAAAUCUUGUGUUUGCAUUCUCUCUUCUCUACUCUUUCAUUUUAUAUGUAAUUGUCUUUAUAUUCUUUAUUAUAUAUAUUUGCAUAUAAUUUUCUCUUGCAUUCAUAUAAUUUAAAUUUACAAAAAAAAAAAAAUCAUUACUCUAUUCACCUCCUUUUAGGGUGAUUACCUUAGGUUGGAUUAACCUAAUUUUUACCAACAAGUUGUGUAAUAGAUACUAACUUGUGCUUAAUAUUGAAAUAAUCUUAUGUCUAUAUGUUACUAAUUGAAUGAAUUUUGUUUCUAAUUAUGGAUAGUGAUUUAGGAGGAAAACAUCUACAAUCUAUAACAAUGUGUAUUAAGUUUUAGUUUUGUAGUUAGUAUUAUAUCUAUUUGGUUGUUGUUUAUACUUUAUAUCAUUAUUCUUCUUAAUGUUAUUUUAUAUCGUAUGGUGUUCUCAUGUUAUCUUUUUAGCAUGCUGCAGGGUAUAGACAUGGUCGUUUCAAAAUUGAAUAGUGGAGGUUGGGUUCACAUCUUUCAAGAAAGUAGUCAUUCUUAGGAUGGUGGGAAAACUGUAGGGUUUGCCAAGAGAGGUGUAGGAAGGUAGUAGUUUAAUGAGUUUACAUUUGAUAUUAUUAUUAAGUUUUGAAAUGUUGAGUUUAAUGUCAAAAAGAUAUAGUGAUAUCACUAAUAGAUUACACAGGGUGCAUUUUCUUCUUUUAUGAUCACCUCAAAUAGUCUUUAAAAAAUGUAUGGCUUUGCUUUUUACUAAAAAUAAGAUGAUUUCAUAACUUUAAUAUGCUAGAAUAUGCUAGAAUCACAAAAUUUAGACUUGAAACUAUCAUAUAGACCUGUAGUUGUGGACGAUAUAGGAAAUAUAGACUUGAAACUAUCACAAACAUUCAUAUUUGUGAUUAGCUUUUGCCUUCCUUUUUCCAUCUUAGGGUUUUUUCUAUUUAUAUCAUAUCAAUGAUGAUAUAUAUUCAUUGAGACAUGGCCUAAUCAAUAUUUGAGUUGGGUGUGAUAGAAUAUCCCCAAAGAAUUUUGGAAAUCAAACAAUAUCAUAACUAAGGAAGGCAUCAUAGCCCUCAAAGAUCCACUGAAUAGGUAAUGGCCAAUGAAACUUAGAUUACUAAGCGAGGUCAUAGGUUAUAAGCUUGGGAUGUGGUUGGCAUGAGUUCUAUGAAUCCAACAAGCUCAAGGUAGGAGACGUCUGCUUCUUUGAGCUAAAUCCUGUCUUACUAGAAUCUCUAAAUCAUGUUUUGGAUGUUCGAACCCUUCUUCCACAAAAGUAAAUAUUACUUAUAUCUUGGUUGGUUGAUUCUCCAUGAUUUUUUGUUUUUGGUUAUGAAUGUUUUUGAAUUAAGAAAAACAUGUGGUGUUAGCUUGAGCAGAUUCUCUUAUCUGCCUUAAUAAUUUCCUAGUUGGAAUUUAGUUGGCUUGUCUACCACCUUAUUAAUAAUUUCCCAAUUGGAAUUUGGUUGGUUUGUUUACUUGUACAUUUGUUAUUUUAGAAUUAUAUAUGUACAUUAGUUAUUUUAGUUUUUUGCAUUUAAUUAUUUAACAUAUAAUUAUUAUAAUAUUUAUUUAAAUAUUUAAUUAUAUAUAUUAAAAAAUGGAAAUAUAUUAAACAAUCUAUUAAAUGGAAGAGAAAACUAAAUAAUAAUAUAUUAAACAAAUCAAAUGUCAAUGCACAAUUAACAUGGCUAACAUUGCAUCCAUUAUUAGGCUAUAAACCCCACAUCACCACCUAUAGCAGCGCGCAAUGUCAACUUGAAAUAAUAUGGAGGCUUAUAAUUGUGACUGACACUAUGCCCUCACAAUGUGAUCUUUAUGGUUAUAGGCAUAAGUUGUCAUAGUCGAAGAAAUUUUAGUUGCAGAAAAAAGUGGUUGUAACUAGAGAUUCACAGUACAAUACACAAUCACAUUUGGUCACAGCUACAUGAUUUAUUUACGCCCACUAUGGCCAUGCAAUGUCACGGCCUAUGUUGCACGCCCUUGUAUCAUAUGGUUACAAUUCAAUUUACUUUAAUUUGCAAACCUUGGUUGUAGCUAAACACUUAGCUUCUUGUAGUGUUUGUGGAAACUUUCCCUUUCCACCAACUUACGAUGUCAAGAUUAGGUUCAUCAUCUUCUACGUUAUUAUCUAAGUAAUGAUUUAAAUUAUUUUUAAUUAUGAAAGAUGAUUCACUUUUCAAGAAUUUGUGUUAAUCUUUCUUGUUCUUCCAACCAAUAAAAUGUUUUUUUUUUUUACUCAAUUGCAAAGACAAUUAUAAGAUACUGGAAUCCCAUGUUAUUAGUUCAUCCAAGACAGGGUAAUUCUUUCUUUUUUAAUGCAAUAUUUAUUGAAUAAUUGCAAUCUUGAAGGAAAAUUUUUCACAUAUUUCACAUAUUCAUAAAGUCAAACUAAGGUUCAAAAUGUACACAAAUACAUGAAGCAAUUCUCCAUCAAAAAAUAAUUUAAUCCUCUUAUUCAAUUGCUUUGUCAAACUCGAAAUUGUUGUAUCAUUGGAGCUUGCAUUAUCCACUAUGAUUAUACAUAUUUUUUCAAGACCCAACCUAACAAACAAGUCUCCACCGCUUGUGCAAUCAUUUCCCUAUAAUGUAGAAUUGGCAAAACAUAAAAAAUAAUUACUCUCUUUUACAACUUCCAAUCCUUAUCAGUAAAAUGUAUUUUGGAUGGAAGUUCACAUAUUAGUAGUAAAACACAUUGAUAAAGCACAAGUUUUAAAAUUUUCCCUUAAAUUCUAUUCACUCAAAUGUAUUUCUGCAUAAUCUUUUUUCUUGGUUGUUCAUGAAACCAAUUGAAACCUUAGUUGCAUAAAGUACAAAAUCUUUUAAAUCCCUUUUUCCUCACAAAACUAAUUGGCAACUCAUCAAUGAUAAUCAUUCUAGCGAGCUCUUUACAACAACUUAGUUAAAUUUUCAAUUUGCAAUAGUAUUUUGACUCUAUGGCAACAAUAUGAAACAAAUUUUUUUUUUCUCAUGAUCUCUGUUAUAUGGAUAUUUAGCAUAUAUUUCAAAAUACCUCCAAAGUGUGGUAGUUCCCUAAGAAUGAUUAAGCUUAAGGAUAGAACUACAGUAAUCGCAUGUGACUUGCUCAAUUUAGUAUCAUCAUCUUUUUUAAGUUUCAUGAAAUGGUCUCAAACAUUAGAUUUAGACUUAUAUAGGUUUUUUUGUGUUUGUGGUUCCUUAAUCUUCUCAAUGGCACUAUAACCUUAUUUCUUGAUCUUUUUUUUUUUUUUAUCUCUUAGUAUAUGUGUUUUUCUCGCCAAAUCAAAGACAUGGACUGCUUGUUUGUCACUUACAUUGUUGAAGGAAAAAGUUUAAGAGAAUAUGUUAAAUGUUUUAGUGAUGCAUUUACAAGUGGAGGGCUUUACAUCUAUUCAACUGCUCAUAUUGCAUUAAAAAAAAAACUUCUCAUUAACUUAGAUUUAUACAAAUCAUUUCACAAGAAAAAGCCUUUUAUAUUGUAUUAGUUUUUUUACAAGCACUUAUUAGUAUGCAAGACUAUAGGAAGGUAUAACAAUAAACACCUUAAAGGUAGUGGCUACAAUAAAUUCAAAAUGUAGAUAACCACUUUAUGGAUAAGAUACUUAUCAACCUAGUAAAUGAUCUUAAUAUAAUAAGUUUUCUAAAAGUUAUAGAGAUAAAAGGGGUUUAAGGUGUAAAGUAGAGAUGCUACAAUUGUUUUUUCCAAGUUAAGUGCACCUACUCUCAAGUCCAAGAGCUAAUAAAGUUAUAGGACUCAAAGUGGCCUCCGUAGCCCAAGGGAGAUCAAACCAAGAAGGAUACUAGUAGAUAUUGUGCUUAUUAUCAUACUCAUGUCCAUAAAACAAAGGAGUAUAAGAGCUUUAAGCAUGUGAUCAAGAUGCAUCUUCAUAGGGGACAACUUCAACAUUCUAGUUGUUAAUUAUAAAAUUUAAAAGGACUAAAAUUUUUAAUAAAGCUUAGGGACAUAUAGUAGUGCAGCUUUGUCCAAACAAGAUAGAAAGACUCAACAUAUCAAUGCAUCAUUGUUGUUUAGUAGGGCCAUUAGUUAGCAAAAAUGCAUCAUACAUCAAGUAGGUCUCUAGUGUCAUUAUAAACCUAAAAUUUUGGAAGCACUAAUCCAAAAAGAGCCCUCAUGUCUAAGAUGUAUGAAGAAAAUGUUGGGAUAAAGCCUUUAAAAGCAAGACAUGAUAUAACAAAAUUAGAUUUGACCUUCCACUUUUCACUUUUACAUGGAUAUUGAUUUUAGCAUUCACACCUAUAUCACAUGCAUUGUAUAUGACUUAGGUGUAUUAGGAGUUGCACAUAGAAUACAAUAUUAUGAACCUUGGAUUAAUUCGUUUCUUAGCCCAAGAUUUUGUAAGGUGCAUGCUAUGUAUCCUUAGGCACUCUAGAUUUAACAUAACAAAAAACAAUGGCUAUAAAAGCCAUAUUAAAACCUAGAUUUAGAGAUAUAGUUAUAUAACGUGAUCUAAAUGUUCCUAGAUUAAUUCAAAUCUAGAAAAAAUGUCGAUGAAGAUUCUAAAAUUGUAAAAAAAAACAUCGUAAAGUGCAUCUACCUGGUGUUCUUCCAUUGAUAUCUCCUCACAUGGACCUACACAUAAGAAAAAUGUGAUUUUUUUUCUCUAAAGGAUGACUAGGGUUUCUAUUUGGAAGAUGACAAACAAAAAGUCUAAAACCUAAACUCCCUAAGGAGGUUUAUAUAAGGCUUCAAUGGGCUUAAGUGACUUGAUCCCAAAUUGAGCUUAGGUCACAUAAUCCAUCUCACUUGGGUCCUAAUUAAUUAAUUAUCCAUAUUAGGAUCCAAUUAAUUAAUUAACUCGAUCUAGAAAGACCAUUCCUAAAAUCUAGUGUAAGUUAACACUUUUACCAAAAUGCCCUUAGGCACACGUAUGAACAAAAAACCUAAAUUCCUCAAAACAAAUGUGCCACCAUGAAUUAGAAGUUCAAGUGGAGAAUCUGUAGGGAAUAUAUGACCACUUUAGAGCCCACCCAUAGGUUAAAGCCUUAUGUUGAUUUCAGAAGAGGCUAAAUAUCCUCUUAAGGUUGAGAGUUUAUGCAAUAUAGUAUGUUGGUGAAUCAUGACAACCUAAUAGCCUUGCAUCAUGAUUUACCAUACAACUUAUUCAAUUAGAAAUCAUACACACUAUUAUACUCACCAUGUGAACCCCAUCCUGACAGGUAAGAUAAGUCAUCAUUCCAAUUUAGGAGAUAGUGCACUACAAUGUUUAUUGGAUUGCCUAAAUCCAUGAACCAACUAUGAACAACUUAUUAUCUUAUAAGGAACCUAUGACUUGUAUAUUCUGUAUAACUCCUAAUGCACCUAAGUCAUGUACAAUGCAAGUAAUAUGGGUUUGAAUGCUAAAAUAAAUAUCAAUGCAAAAGUAGAUAGCAAGUAGAAGGUCUAGUUUAACUUUAUCACACACCAUGUCUUGCUUUUAAGGAAUCUAUCUUAACAUACAAGUUAUGGGUACCUUGCAAGAUGAUAAGUUAUUUAUAGUCCGUUCAUAGAUUUGGGCAAUCCAAUAAAGAUUGUUAGUGCACUACCUCCUAAUUGAAUGGAUGACUUGUCUUGACCGUUAAGAUGAGUUCCCUAUGGUGAGUGCAUAGUGUGUACGAUUUCACAUUAGACAAGACCUAUGAUGGAUCAUGGCAUAAGCCUAUCAGUUGUCAUAAUUCAGCAAGCUACUAUAUUGCAUAGACUCUCAACUUUGAGAGAAUAUCAUGGCUUUAACCUAUGGGUGAGGCCUUAAAGUGGUUAUAUAUUCUAUAUGGAUAGAGUGACUAUUUGAUGGAGGUCGGUGGUAAGCAUUCUCAAUAGAGGCAUCAUAAUAUCUCAUUGGAUUAAGACAGUGUGCCCCAUUAGGUGAUCCAAAGGACAUGUGAUCAUUAAAAUCUAUGACCAUAGUAAUUCUUUAAGUAGAAUUUGACAUAUGCUAUUUAUGAGCUAAAAUAUGUCAAUUAAUCACAUAAUAGGAGGAUAUGUAACUCAAGAAUUGAAGAGGUAAUCAUGAUGAGUUGAUAGCACUAUCCUGUUAGAUUACAAACACAGUUCAUGAAAAGUCUACAUUCAAUGUAUAGUAGGUCACGAAAUCGAGCUUUGUCUUGUUGUAAUUUCAUAAGAUAUUGGAGUGCAUUUGAUUCUUUUUAGUAGAUUGUUGAGUCAAAUUCAAAUUUGGAUUUUAAGGAAGCCAAUAUUUUCCUAUAUGUCAUAGUGGUCCCCAUUCGAGCUUCUAGUUCAUCGUAACAUGUGUUGUUAAGGGAUUUGGGUUUAUAGUUCAUAAGAGUGUAUAAGGGCAUUUAGUAAAAAUGUAAAGUUGCACUAGAUCUUAUGAAUGAUCCUUUUGGAUUGGUGGAUUGGGUUGAUUAAUUAAUUAGGACCCAAAUGGGCUAGAUUAGGUGACCUAAGCCUAAUUGGGGUUCAAGUCACUUAAGAUAAUAAAGAACCCUAUAUAUACCCCCUUAGGGGUUUAGGUUUCAAGCUUUUAAAACUUUGUUCAUUAUCUUCCACACACACACACACAAAGAAAAUCUUAGCCACCCUUGAGAAAGGAAGAGAAGUUCACCAUUCUCUUAUACCAACAUCCAUGAAAGAAGAGAUCAAGUUAAAGAUUGUUGGGUGAAUGAGAUUCAAUAUAAGAAUAUCCAAAUCGCAUGUAUGUUUUUUUUAUCUCCAGAUCUAGUCUCUAUUAUGGUUUUUAUUGCCAUUUUAUUUGGUUGAGUUAGAUCUAGAAAGUCUAAGGAUAGAUAACAUGCACCCUAUAAUAUCAAGGACUAGGGGGUUCCUAAUAGAAAAUGGAAUAAUAGUCGAUUUAUCACCAUAAGAAGAUAAAUUUAUAGCUACAACCAAUCAACUAUAGUUAAAUGUUAAAAUUGCGUGACCAUAUUAAUAUUUGUAUAAUGAUUCUGGUUUUUCUUUCACUAUCUUAUGUUUAUGUAUUAUAUAUGUUGAGAUUUAAGACUAUCUCUUGCAUUAUACAUUACUUGGAUGCAUUAAGAGUUUCAUAGGCAAUCCAAGUCAUGGGGUCUUUACAAAUAGAUCAUUUGUUCACAAUCGAUUCAUGGAAUUAGACAAUCCAUUUGAGGUUGUUGUGCAUUACCUCCUAAUUGGAGGGAUGAUUGGUGUCUCUCAUCAAGAUGAGGUUAUUAUGAAGAGUGUAUUAGUGUGUAUAGUUACACAUUAAAUAAGACUUACAAUGAGUCAUGACAUUAGCUCUUGGGGAGUCAUGAUCUCACUAAGCUACUAUAUUGUAUGGUUUCUUAAGCUUGAGAGGAUACUAAACUUAUGUCAAGGUUUGCAAUGGCUUUGACCUAUGGGGUGGGAACCUAAGAUGAUCAUAUGUUCCCUAUGAAUUUGGUCACUAUUGAUGGAAGUCAAUGACAGUAAGUACUCUUAAUAGAGGCACCAUAAUAUCCUAUGGGAUUGACAUAGUGUGUUCCCUUGGGUAAUCUUAAAGACAUAUUAUCAUGAAAUUUGUGGCCCUAGUAUUCCUUAAGUGGAAUUUGACAUCUGCUCAUAUGAGCUAAAGAAUGUCAAUUGAUAAUAUUAUAGAAGGAUUUGUAACAUGAGGAUUGAAAAGGUAAUCUUAAAAGGUUGAUAACACUUACCUCAUUAGAUUAUAUAGACCGAUUCAUAGGAAAUUUGCAUGUAGUGGAUAGUAAGUCACAUACUCGAGUUCUUGUAUCUCAUUGCAAUAUACAUAGGAUACUAGAGUGUAAUUAACUCUCUAUAGUGGGAUAUUCAGUCAACUUUAAAAUUGGAUUAUGAGGUUACUAGUAUUUUUUCCAUGGAUCCCAAUGCUCCUUGCUCAAGCUCGUAUUCCAUGAUAUUAUGGUUUAAUAGGGUUAGUUGAACUCUCUAUUCACAUAUUUGCAUAAGUGCAUUCUAGUAAAAAUGUGAGGUUGCACAAGAACUUAUGAAUGAUGUCUUUAAACUAAGCUAAUUGAUUAACUAGAACCUACUAAGGUUAAUUAAUCAAUUGGGACCGAAGUGGACUAGAUUAAGUAACUCAACCCUAAGAUGAACUCAAGUCACUUAAGCUCACAAGAAGGCUAUAUAAACCCCCUUAGGUGUUAGGGCUUAGUUUAGUCUUCUUAUUCACUUUAUAUAAAAGAAAGAUUUAGCUACCAACUCUAGAGCGGAUUCCCACCCCUUUAGUGCUAGGAUUCAAGAAAGAGUCAUUAUGAUAGAGGAUCAUUAGGUUUGUGAGAUUUACGACGAUUAUCGCACCUUCAACACAUCUCUUAAUCGAUAGGAUCUGAUAUAGGAACAUCUAGAGCUUAGUUAUGAUCUUUAUUCUUUUUAGAUCUAUUUUAUUUAUGGUUUUUAUUGCCAUGAUAUUCUCUGCGAUUAGAUCUAGAGAGACUUAAGUCUAAUAGCAUGUACCCUAAGCAAUCUAGGGCUAGGAAUGGAGUAAUCCAAGGAUUCCCAACAAAACCCUUUUAAGAGUUUAGUUUAGAUCCUCCUAGCCAUUAUCUUCUAGAGAGGCUCCAUGUCUUUCUCUUUCUCUUUCUCUCUCUCAUAAAGGUUGUGUAGUCAUUCAACCCUAGUGCCAAAGCUCAAAGAAUGAGUGACUACGUGGAAGAUAACUAGAUGUGAUUAGAUAUAAUGUUCUUAGAUUGUUAGAGAACAUGCACCCAUGAUCUAAGGGUAUCCCAACAUUGUCACCAUUGUUUUUUAGCCCAUACAAAAUCCUAUAACAAAUUAGAAAAGUGGCUUAUAAAUUGGAGUUACCUUUAGGAACUCUAAUGCAUCCAAUUUUCCAUGUUUCUUGCUUAAAGAAAUGAAUAGAUGAAUCCGUCAUUCCUCAAUCAGAACUACCACCCUCUCAAGAAGAUGGAUGUAUAAAGUUGAAGCUAACUACAAUCUUGGAUCAUCGAGUAGUCAAAAGAAAUAACUGGGUUGUGACAUAAGUGCUAGUCUAAUGGUCAAACUUAGUCUUGAAAGAUGCCACUUGGGAGGUCUUAUAUGAGUUACAAAAAUUUUAUCCUUGGUUUCAACCUUGAGGGCAAGACCAUUUUGGAGAGGGAAGAAAUGUAAAAAUUAGGAAAUCAGGCCACUAUCAGAGCAUAAUUGAGAAGGCUAUUAUGAGUGAAUCACUGAUCAUGUCAUCCUUAAUUUUAUUCUAAUUAUUGUUAAGAACAAGGUUAAUAGAACAAGGUUGGACAAAACUUCUCUUCUAACACCUUUGAACAUGACAAAAAAUUAUCAUUGUGAAAAACAAUUGAGAAUCUAGUGUGAUGAGGGGGCAUCAUCAAGAUCGUUAAACUUGUCUAGAUAAGAGAAACUUAGGGUUUUUAAAUUCAAAUUUCAGACUCAAAACAAAAUUGUAGAGCAGUAGAUACAAAACAACAAGAAUCAAAACAAAAAUUACCACAAAAACCUUAGAAAACUAGAGCCAAGGGAGGGAAGAUGACUUAUGAUUAAACUUCGAUGCUUUCAUGUCAAACUGUAUGAGUAUGGGAGUUGGAGAAGAGGGGGGCACAAAAGAUGUGUUCGACUAUAAUUUAUAUGGGACAUAUUGCAACGGUCAAGCCCAUAAAUCCAUAUGGUAGCGCUACUGAAUAAAGGCCGAGACUAUAGGACCAUCUAUGGCAGUGGCCCAAAAAAUCAAUGCAGCUAUGGAAAAAGUUAUAAUUAUUAGACAUGGGUUUAACAAUGGCCAUGACUACAUAUUUUUUUGAGUAAUUUUCCUGCCAAUACCUAUUCCUUUAGAUACAGUUGGAAUAUUUAUGAAGCUAAUAUAUACCUAUGCCGCUACAUCCUAUUUUUCUUGUACAAUAUGCAAUAUUCUACUUGCAAGUUGGUAGCCAUUUCUUCAUCUUUUGGAGUCGGCGUGAGCCUUUAAUUACUUAUUUAAUUACAUUUCCAAAACGCCUUUAUUCUUGAAAGAUCAUAUUGUCGCAUAUCUAAUAGACUUGCUUUCCUCUAAAGAAUGAGGCGUGUCUACAAGAUGAGAUCUCACCACAUCACAAGAAAUUUAACUGGUUAGGGGUGAUGGGGAAUGCCUUGAUAUCAAUCUAGCCCUAUUUAUUAUCUAUUUGCCAAGAAUUCAUUUUGUUGCACGAGAGCAAGCAUCUGGUAGGUGUGCUACAUUCAUUUAUUGUUGCCUCAUGUUCAUGAAAUUAGUAGGAAGAGUGCUCUUCCUUCAUCAUAUACUCUUCUUCCAUUGAUUUUUCUAUCUAUUCCAACAUUGGGACAGUUUUUAACAAGCGUCCACAAGACAAUGCUCAAGUGUACGAGUACAAAAAUUUUGCCUACUGAAAAUAUCUUUUUCUUUUGUAGCUUCAAUAAAAAUUCUCUCAAAAAAUGACACGAAGAAUUGCCAGUUAUAACCAAUGAUGAAAAUAUCGAUAAUCAUGGAUAUAUCGGUACUUUGAUUUUACGGAUAUAUCGGACAUAUAUCGGCGAAUAUUUUGGAAAAAAAUAUCGAUAAGCCUAAAAUUGAUUAAAAUUUAUAAAAAUAUAAGAAAAACUUCAUAAAAAUGUAAUUAGAAGUAUAAUAUAUAUUUUAAAGUUGUUUUAUUAAAGAAUUUGAUAUAUGUAUAAUAUAAUUUAUUAUAUUUGAUAAUAAUAUCGUAUGCAUUGAUAAUAAUAUCGUAUGCAUUGAUAAAAAUAUGAAUUUUAUAAGUAUACAUUUAUUAUUAAAUUAUAUCAAAUAUUAUUUUAUAAUAAUAUUAUGAUAUUUGAUUAUAAUAUGUCUAACUAAAAAAUAUAUAUUAAUAUUAAAAUUAUGAUCCAUUUAAUUCAAUUGUAUUAAAUGAUAUAAAAUAAAUUAUGAUAUAUGUACAAUUUUUUAAUAUUUAAUUAAUUUAUUAAUGAUAUUAAAAACACUAUGAAGAAAAUUAUUAUGAUAAUUUUUAUAUUUUUGGUAAUCAAUUAAAAGAAAUUUUUUGUAUUUAAUUAUAAAAUAAUUAUAAUUAAUUUGCUCUCUAAAAUUUUCUUUACAUGAUGACUUUGAAUAUAUAUUUUUAGUAUAAUAUAUUUAACAAAGGGCAAACUUGCCUUAAUGGUCUGAUGAGUUGAACUCCAAACCUUUUGUUUUGAGUUCGAAUCCUUUCAACGGCACAAAAAAUAAGCAUUUUUGAGAGCUUGCUGUAGCGGGGGGAUCACCAAAAUAUCGUUGAUUUUUUUCUUUUAAGCCGUUUUUUUCCCAUUAAAUUGGCGAUUUAUUGCCUGAUGCCGAUAUAUCAAUGAUAUAUUGAUGAUUUUUUUUGCCAAUUUUCAACCAUUUUUUUCCUCUCUGAUUUUUCUUCAUAAAAUAUCGUGUUGAUGUCUCCUGAUACACGAUAUAUCGUCAAUAUAUCCCAACAUUUUCCUCCUUGGUUAUAACCAGACCAUGUCUAGCAAAAUAAUCAGAUAAUCACAUGUCCAAGUACUUUGUGAUUGAAUGCCAGUCAACAUUGAAGACAAUAUUCGUCAAGUUGGAUGCUCCUUUCCACCAUUAUGGGCACUAUCAGAGGCUGGUGUAGGAUGGUAAGGUGAGUAUCACAUAGGGACUAUUUUUUUAUUAUGAUCAAUCAUCAUUUCCUAUAUCAUAAGGAAAUCAUUUCUUUAAGAAAAUGAUUUUUUUUUCUUUGACAUAAUUUAUAUUUAGGACAUGAUUUCUUUUUUCGAAACGUAAUGUUUAUUUUAAAAUCAUUUUCUUUCAAAAAUAUAAUUUUCAUUUUGAAUGUCUUUAAAUAAAAGUUUCCUAAAAUAUGGCUUCGAUCCCGCUUGGUUUUAGGCUUACUCACUUUUAGGCCUUAUUUUAUAACUAUUUCAAAAAACAAUUUUAGAAAAUAGUUUUUAAAAACAAUUUUUGAAACUAUUCUUUAAUGUUUUGUAAAAAAAAAAAAUAUGUUUGAGAACUUGAGAUGUUUUAAUAUGUUUUUAAUAUUUUUAAAUAUAUUUUAAGAAUAAUGUUUAUAUUUAGUGUUUUAUUUGUAAUAAUUUUAUAUGUUUGUAUAAUUAUUUUUUAAAACAAUUAUAAAAGAAUAAGUAUAAAUAAUUGAAAAUAAAAUAAAUAUGUUCUUUAAAAACACUAAACUUUGUUUUCCUUUUUUUUUUUUUAAACAAAAAGAUAGAAAAUAUAUAUAUAUAUAUAUAUAUAUAUAUAUUUUUGUCACAUGUGUUUUUUCAAUUUUUUUAUUCCUAAAAGAAAAGAAAAUAUAAUGUUUUUAGUUCUUAAAAAUAUAUAAUAGAAAACAGUUUUUUGAUUGUUAAAUACGUUUUUUAUUUUAUUUUUUAUUUCUAAAGAAUAUAAAUUAUGCUUAAAAAUAGUUCCAAACAAAACCUGGUUACUUGGUGACAUUGUGAGUAUUUUAAAAAAUAUUUUCUUGUGUACAUUUUUGCAAAAUUUUAAGGCAACUGUAUAAAAAAAAAAAAAAAAAAAAGUUUUGAAGGCUUCACAGCUCCUUUAUGGGCUUCUUCCGGCCCAUUCCAGCCCGGCCCUUUUUCAACCCCAGAAGAAGCUCCUAGUAACGCGGCACCGCCGGCCUUCCCACCGCUCGAAUAAAAUCCAGAGAAUUCGAAACGAAGAGUAAGCGAAACGAGAAAUGGAACCAGAAACAGCGCUAGGGCUUGUACGGAAUGGUGCUACCCUUCUGCUUCUCGACGUGCCUCAGUUCACCCUUAUUGGCAUUGAUACACUGGUAAUUUCAAAACGUAUCAUUUCACUACUCAGAAAAUUUGGGAAAAUAAAAAUUUUCAUCGUACCAGUGGACCAGUCGUUGUGUUAAUUCAGUUUCAUUUUAAAUGAAACCAGAGGGGAAAUUUUGUGUGACGCUCGAUUUGGUUUAUUUAUUUAUUUUUUAAUUUAUUUUAACCUUAGUUUUCUAGGCAACCAAACUGCGGCUAGUGUGUUUUCUUACUCUCAAUUUUUUAAUAUUUGAAUUAAGUCUUGCAUUGAUACUUAAGGGAAAUUCAUCUCUUUGUUUGUCUUCUGAGAAAAUGUUUUGGUGGUGUGGCUGUUUAGUUCUUUCGUAGAUGCCUAACUUACCUUCGUUUGGUAUCUUUCCUAAUGCGGUGUAGCUUUGAAGGUGUUAAAAUUUGGAAAUGACAUAUCUUAAAGUGAUCAGUCCAGAUACAUUUACUAUUGACUUAUAUCAAGCCACAUACCAGCGGUUCAACAUUUUUCUGUUUUUGAGUACCAAAUUUCAAUUAAUAAAGUCACUCUUCAGCAUCAUGUGGUGCUGGGCUUAAUUUCUAGUUAGGUUGGUUCUGUUUCAAAACUGAUUCCAACGGCUUCUUUCUUCCUUUCUUUUUUCUUCUUACUAUUAUGUUUGAUGUGCGCAGGUGAAGUUCUGUUUAAUACCUAAUUUAUAUUCUGUAUUCAUAAAAAAAAGUAUUUGGGUCUUAAUGGUUACUCAUAAGAUUGAUGUUAAAUCUCUUGCUGCACUUUGGACAGUUGCAUGACUAAAUUUGCAUUUUGCAGAAAUUUUGCAGAAAUCCAGCUUUUCUUUUAUUUAUACUUGUAAUCAUGUCAAGGCUUACGAUUUUAUGUUUUUAACUUGUUAAUAGUAGCUGCUGGAUUAAAUCUAUUUUGCAGAUGUUCUCUGUGGGGCCAGUUUUUAAGGGUAUUAAGAUGAUUCCUCCUGGCCCUCAUUUUGUAUAUUACAGUUCAUCGAACAGGUGAGUUUAUAUUUUACUUUCAUAUUUAUUCAACUGUUUCUUGACUUGUUUGUUGGUAGGUAUUUCUUUUCAUAUUAAUAUUUCUCUUUUCUUUCUGUCUAUCAAUAUGUUCUUAUAUUACUUGUUGAGAAUGAUUAGCAGGUUGAUCAAUUUUUAUCUUUUCUUAUGCGUCUAUCUUCUCCAAAACUAGAAUCCUCAACAGUGCUCCUUCCAGCACACACCUAUACAUGCUUUUUCACAUUUUUUUGACAUGUUUAGUUGGGAGUUGACUUUAAGCAAACAUACAUGUUCUUGUUUCUUAACUUUUUGUAUGAGACAAAUUCUUGCUUCUAAAUUUUCAAUUCAAAUUUAGUUAUGCUUUUGUGUUCAUUUGUGCUAAGCUGUUCUAGUAUCUUGGUAUGCAUUGUUUUUCCUAGAGACACCAUGGAGAUUUCACCAAUAAGUUGAUGGUUUUGUGCUAUAUGAUCUUGCAAUAUUCUUUAAUAAAUCUUGUUCUAACAGCAAUAGUAAAGAACUUUAUGCUUGGAGUCAAUGGCAAAGUGGAGGACACUCUUAUGUGUAUUAAUUCCAAGGUUCAAAAGCUCGGUGGAGAUCAAUAUGUCUCGGCUGAUUCGCAUCCGCCUCGUCCAAGACCAAUAUGAUACCAAUAAGCGAGUUCUAUAUUUUGUUAAAUCACCAAGUGGAUCAGCCAACUGGAAGAUGAAUCUAUAGUUUCGGGAUGAUUCAUGACCUCGGAAUGUUGCAGAGGCUAGUGCUUAAGUGAGUGAUGGUAAUGAUGCCUGUGAACCCUCUCUUUGCCUUUAGGGAUUUAUGCUAAGAAUGAGAGAAAAGAAAUGGAGUGGAGAAGAAAGGGUAAGAAUAUGGAGAAGAUUGGAAAGACAGAGAGGAGUAGCAUGCCUUCGGGAUCUUCUCUGCUACUGCAACUUCAUCCAUGGCAACUCAUGAUAUGGGAAAUGGGUAUUCAUGGGGUAAUGGGUAAUUGCAAUUUGAAGGGUUGGCUGAGCUUAAAUGAGCAAAUCGGUAGUUUAUGGGAACCAUGGGAAUUUUGGUCAUUGGGAAUUAGGGUUAAAUUGGCAGUGGGUAUGGGUAUUUGAUAGAAAUUUUGGUAUCUGGUGGAAAUUUGUGUUUUCAUGAAGAUUUGGGUUUUUUUGAAAUAAAUAAACCAUGGAUAUUGAUAUAAGGAAAAUAUAAAAUCAGUUAUAGGUUAAAAAAUUGGAUAUUGAAAUAAUAUAAGAAUUUAUCAAUUAGUUAAUACUAAUGUUAAUUAAUUUUAAAAAUUAUAAUUAACUAAAUUUAGUAUAGAGUGAUUAAAUAAAAAAAUAAUUUUAGAUAAUAUUAUGAACUAAUCCAAAUGUCUAUUUUUAUACUUAAAUAAUAUUACAUUAGUAAAUGUUAUUUUAUUAUUUUUUGAUGUAUGUAAGUUUAUUUAUUUUUCUGAUAAUCUUCAUAAUUAUUUUAAAAUUUUUUGAUUUUUAAAUUAUGAUAUUUUUCGUAUUGCUUGAUAUUGAUCCGAGACACCAAGACUGAUACACCUCAAGACCUCCCGAUUCAAUGAUUGAUACCACAACUUUGAACCAUGAUUGAUACUCAUUUGCUUGUAGUCAUGUGUUGUAAUGGUUUGGUGGAUUGUCAUUUUUAACUUGUUAGACCAAAGUUUGAGGAAUCUCUUUAUCCGAUCACUAUUAGAGUGGUCUCAACAGUUUUUGGAGUUAGACAGUCCCUCUUUACUGAAUUUUUUGGAUGCUCUUCAUUGUGGAUAGCCUUCUCUCUCUCUAGGUCUUUUUUUUUUCUUUUUCUUUCUUUUCUACAGCCUAGUUGGGCUCUUGUUGUAUACUGCUUGUAUACGUAUGGUGUUUUUGGCGUUUCUUAUUUCAAUUUGCCUUUGUCUAUCAAAAAAAAAAAAAAACUGCAAUGAGAAUAAUGUCAACUAAAAAAUGUUUUAGUGCUUGCAUAUUAGACAAUAAAGUAUGAACAACAUCCAAUAAGUGACAAUGCUUUCACUUAGCAACACCAUUGUAUUGGGAGGUGUGAGGACAACUAAUUUGGUGAAUGAUACUAUCAUCCAAUGCAUAUAAAAUUGAAAUUUUUUAAUACAUUAACAAAAUUGAACAAGAGCUUCAUUGUAGAAUUUAGGAAUGAUAAAAGUAGUUUAUAUAUGAUCCAUAGUUUUAAAAGGUGAGCUUUAAGGCCUAAGGCACAACCACUCCCUUGUUGUAGCACCUUGCUUGUCAAUUCAUGCGCUUUGUUGAAGAGGCACACCUUGUCUAUUUUACUUUUCCUUUUUAAACACUUUUAUUCUUGAAAUUUCUAGUUGUAUAUUAGAAUUUAUAUAAUUUCAUUACUUUUUUGUUGAAUACUUCUUUCAAAUGUUUGAAUUCUUUAAUGUUUUAUUGGUUGAAUUAGAUUUUGAAUCAUACUUUAUAAGAUGAAUAUGAAUCUUAGGUUAUGUUUUACUUCAUUCAGGCGCACACUUUGAGUUGCGUCUUGGGCCUAAGCUGUAGGAAACUUUUGAGCCUUAGUUGCACCUUGCACCCUUUAAGACUAUGAUAUGAUCAUCAACAAAUAGAACAAUAUAAAGAAAUCCAUUCAAACUUGUAAUUUGAGAAGGAUCCCAAAUAUCAAUUUGGGUUACAUUAAAGGACUGAAAUUGAUGACUAUGACUGUGACUUGGAAAGGAGCUUCAUUGAUUCAUGCCUAAUUGACAAUUUUCACAUUCAAAACAGGAUAUACACUCAACAUAGGUUUAAUUAAAUGCAACUUUGCCAAAGAUAGAUGACCUAAAUGGAAAUCCCACUAAAGAGAUGAGACUGGCACUUGAUAAAAGAAGGUUUACCAAAGUUCAUCUUUCUCUUGCCCUGAACCAAUCAUUCUCUGUACUGAGGUCUUGAACAAUUUAUGAAGUGGGAGUCAAAGUUACGGAACAAUUUAAGACUUCAGUAAGUUUACUUACAGAAAGCAAAUUGAAUAAAAAGUUUUGAACAUAGAGACUAGAAGGUAAUAACAACUUAGUGCAGUGUAGGACACCUGGUUCAAGAAUAGACCUACAAGAGUCAUCAACUAAAACAAUACAAUGUUUCAUAGGUUUUAGAUAAGAAAGGAUAAAAUAAUUUAUCAAAUAUGUUGGAAUUAGCUCUAGAGUCAAUGCCUAGCAUGGAGAGGAUAGGCUACAAUGUAGGAAUACUUGAAUUGGCUAAAAUAAUAGUCUAAGAUGAUGGAAAAGCAACUUGUAAUGUCUAGAUGAGCUUGUUAAGUUGAGUGGUGCAUCUAUCAGGAGAAUUGAAGUCAAGAAUUGCAUAUCCAGGUGCAUUUGAAGGUUGUGGUGCUUGUGUAGUGCCAUCAGUGAUUUGAUGCAUGCAAUCUGAUGUACUAUAUUUUACCUAACAGUAAGGAUCCCUAUGAUUGGUGCUAAUAGUCUGAUAACACUUCCUAUCAACAUGUCCACCGGUACAACCAACCCCACGAGAACUAUCAUGGAAGCCCACAACCACCAUGACCAUCAAGGACCAUUAUGACCUUUAGUGUUGGAGAUCAAGGCAAAAGAUUUUAGAGGAGCCACAGCAGAGCCUUCUGCUAAUGAGGGCCUCAAUAAUUGUGAAUAUGCAAAAAUGGUAUGGUUUUGCUGACAAGAGAAUGAUCUUUAAAACCAUAAAGAUUUGAGUGUAAGCCAGAUAACUAUGAAGCAGUCAUAAACUCCUCCCAAUGAUACUUCCAUUGUGCUAGGUCAGCAAUGAAAGACAGACAUUGCAAUACUUGAUCACACAAGUUUUUAAGAAUGCUAUAGUAUUUGGAGAAUGGUUUUCCCAACUGCUUAAUGGAGAAGAUUUUCUUAGGCAACUAAUUAUUCUUUGAAACAGUAUUCUGUUGCAAAAACAACUCAACAAGUGAAUCCAAAUCUUCUUAUGCCUUAGCCAUUCCAUGACAAUGGAGUUGUUAUGCAAUCUUCAGUCCCUAUCCUUUAUAUUUGAAGGAGGAUUUUUUGUCUAAGUAUUUCAAGUUCUUGUGCCUAUGUAGAAAGUUCUGGAAGCAUGGCCAUAUGCAAGGUAAUUAACCCAUUUAAAAAUUUUCGAUACAGUUUUUUGACAAUCGGUAUCUCAUUGUCCUUGAGGCUUGUAAUUUAUCAUACACCUUGAGAAAUCUGGAAACUGCAUUUGCAAGAAAAGAAUAAGCUUGAAUCUUGAGAACCAAUGGCUCCAAAGCUUCAACACUUGAAUCACCCUUGAAAAUUUUCAAAAAUCAAAUAAAUGAUCUUCAAAACAUCAAAAUCAACCUGUCUGAAUUUCACAUAACACAAAAAAUCAUAGCAUGCCUUCUUGUAAAUAGAAAAAUGAAUCUGUCCAAACUUUCAGUAACAAAUGUACCUCCAAAAACAAGCUGUCAAAUCCAUCCAAAGCCAUAAAAACACUUUCAGAUUCAACAAAUUAGCAAAUCAGACAAUACUUAAAUCAUUUCCUAGCUUGGGUGCACCAUAUAGUGACAAUCUAAGCUAACAAGAACCACAAAACAGCCCCAAAUUCCAGAGAGAAACCAUGAGGACUGAAAUUCUUAAGAUCAUAGAAAAGAUAGAAAAUUUCAAUCAAAUGGCCACAAGUAAAUUGGAAAGUAACACCAUAAUUAUUAGAAAAAUCAAUUUGUGCAACCAUAGAAAUUACCUAAUUCUGGGAUUUUUUUUUAAAAAAAAAAAUUUAUUUUACUUUUAUUUUGGGGUGAUCUAUCUAAUGUUCAAUAAACUCUAGGAUUGAUCAAUAUUUUAAUGUAAAGUUAAAAGUAAACUUGUGAGAUUAGGGUUAAGGUUUGGAAAAAGAAGAAGAAAAGGGAAAAAGAAAGUGUAGAAAGGUUUGGGUUUGUCUAAGUUGACUUUCUUUUGCCUUGUAACAUAUUUAUAUUAUUAAAUAACAAUGUUUUUUAAAGGCUAAAGGCCUUCUUGAGGUGUUUUGCCCAAAUGAGGCGAGGUGUAAGCCUUGAGGCAAAAAGAGGCAUAAGCCUCAACUUAAACAAAUAAAUAACAAAAUAUUAUCAAAAGGUCAUAAAAAUACUCAUAAAGUCAUAAGAAAAUUGAAUAAUAAAUAAGGCAUAAACUUUGGAGUGAUAAAAUCAAUUAUUUGUUAUCGUUAAUAGAUUCUAAUUACUUUUUUUUUCUUUGUUUUAAAAUUUUGCUCUCUGUCAUGAUUUUAUCAAAUAAUUUUCAACAUUACUAUCACUGUAACUAGUAGGAUCCUCCAAGGAAUAUAAUAAUAUCCAAUGUCUACAUUAUCCUCCCAAUUAGUGUUAAUAUCCACCAAUUCUUCUUCUUGAUUCAUCAAUUCCAGUGGUACUUUUUCUUAUCUAUCAAUAAUAAGAUAAUGAUUACAUAUAAAAUCAGCCAAUAAGAAGACAAACGAUUCCCUAAUCCUACCUUUUCAAUCACUUUUUCCCCUUUCAUUAAAGAUUAAUUAGAAGAAAACUAUGCUCUCAUUUCCUAAAAGGUUCAACUAAGUUGGGACCCAAUACAUAACUCAUGAAAUUUAUAUCAAAAGCCCACAAAAGCAUAGAUUCUAAUAAAAUCCAAGAUAUACCAAAUGCUUAUAAAGGUCGAAGACCCUUUAUCACCAUAACUGGUAGGAUCUUCAGGGGAAUAUAAUAAUAUCUAAUGUCUACAUUAUCCCCCCUAUUAGUGUUAAUAUCCACCAAUUCUUCUUCUUGAUCCAUCAAUUCCAGUGGUACUUUUUCUUAUCUAUCAAUGAUAAGAUAAUGAUUACAUAUGAAAUCAACCACUAAGACAACUAACAAUUCCCCUAUCCUUCCUUUUCAAUCACUUUUUCCCCUUCCAUUAAAGAUUAAAUAGAAGUCAACUAUGCCCUGAUUUCCUAAAAGGUUCAACUAAGUCGGGACCCAAUACAUAACUCAUGAAAUUUAUAUCAAAAGCCCACAAAAUCAUAGAUUUUAAUAAAAUCCAAUAUAUACCAAAUGCUCAUAAAGGUCGAAGACCCUUUGGAUAUUUGAGACUUAGGCCUCAAUAGCCUUGAAGCUAUAACCUCAAAGCUAUAAGCCUUGAUAGGGUGAGACGUAAGCCUCAAUUACCCUAACUGAGGCUAUAACCUCAAGGCAUAAGCCUCAAUAGCCUUUUAAAACAUUGUUAAAUAAGAUUAGAAAAAAAAAAAAACCUAAGUAACCAAUACAUAAAAACUAAUGUAUAAAUCUAAACAUUAGUAUAGCGUUAGCCCUAACAUAUGUAAGUUGUGUAUGGAACAAGGAGAAUCAGCAGAUCAUCUCUUCCUUCAUUGCUCAGUUACGUUGGGGUUGUGGCACAGACUUUUUCAGCUAGCCAAGAUGGAUUGGGUUCCUCCGAAAAGCAUUUCAGACAUGAUGUUCAUCAAUUACAAAGGUUUUGGCAAGUCCAAGAGAGGGGUAAUUCUAUGGCAAAACGCAAGUAUAGCGUUAAUCUGGGUUGUGUGGCGUGAAAGAAACGCUAGGAUAUUUGAGGAUAAGGCUAGGAAUGCAGGGAAUCUUUGGGAUUCCAUCCAUUUCCUUGCGUCUCUUUGGGCGUUUUGUUCAGCGGGUUUUAAGGGCACCCCCCUUAACGUACUACAACUUGAUUGGUUAUCAGUGUGUAGUUCAAAUAGUUCUAUUGGGACGGUCUAGUGCUUUGUUAUUUUUUCUUGUUGUCUAGUUUCCAUUUGGAGGGAGGAUUUCUCAUCCUCCUUUUGUACUUCUUUUCUAUCAAUAUAUUCUAGUGUGGUUUCCUAUCAAAAAAAAAAAAUGUAUAAAUCUAAACAAAACAUAACAAAUUAUAGUAGACUCUUGACAACAUUUUCACUACUUAAUGAGAUUGGAAGGCCAUGUCUCUAAAUGAAAAUUUGGGUUGUAACAAUCAAAUGCUUUGAUUGGUAAACUUUAUGAUGUGCAAAGCUUUAUGAUAUUUGAAAUGUGCACUUUCUUUUUCUUAAAUUUUUUAAGACAUUUAUCCCAAUUAUUGACAAAGCAAUCCCGAUUGAUACCCAUUAUCCUACAACACUUAAAUACUAAUGAGGGUUGAACUUGAGAUCCGUUGAGCUAUACCUUAGGGGGCUUGAUUAAUGGGCACGCUUAUUUGCUUUUCCCGAUUAUUGAAUUACUAAAACAUUAUCACAAUUUGGAUUCUUCAUUUCUUGUUGGUUUGCAACAUUUUAAUGAUUUUUUUUUUUUUUUUUUACACCUUUCAUGGUAAGAAAAAAAAAUUUCAAAUUCAAAGAUCCACAUGGAUUUGAACCUAAACCCACUAUAAGGAAACAAAUUAAGUGGAUAAACAUUCGGGGAGUCAUGAAACUAUUUCAUUAACUCUUCUCUUUGUUAUUUCCUUUAUGGAUGGUUAUUUUCUUCUUAUCAUCAAUAUUAGACUCUAUAAAUCUAUGUGUUUUAAAAGGCUAUUGAGGCUUACCUUAUGAUGAGGCUAUGCAAAUUCUGUUUUGUUAUUCCGUUAUAUAUAUAAUCUUCUUGUUGCUUAUUAAAAAAUAAAUAAAUAAAAUAAAAAUGGUGAGGCUAUGCAAAUUAGCUUUGAGGAUAUAGCCUCAUCCAAUUGAGGUUUAAGGCUCAAGUAUUCAAAGGGUUUUAAUACAUAUAGGGAUUUUUAUACAUAUUUUAUAAGAUGUUUAAGCCUUAAUAUUCAAUGGUUUUAAGGAAUUGUGCUUUUGUGAGGUUUGGUAUAGAUUUUUAAGUUUUGUCUUGAGUUCAAGGCUAGGGUUAGAGUGUGUAUAUAUGAUCAUUUGAUGACCAUGAUAGGAUUUUGUACUUGCCUUCUAGUGCGUAUUCUAUACAUUGUGUGUGCCUUUUUCUUAAGUGUUGUUAAUAUAAAUAUAUAUAUAUAUAUAUAUAUAUAUAUAUAUAUAUAUGUAUGUAUGUAUGUAUAGGGUUAAACCUUUUAUAAAGUGAGGACUUGGUUAGCUACCAAUUAAUCCUUUAAAUGGAGAGGGAAUGAAGAGAUUGGGAUGAUGAAAUAAGGGAGUUGUUUUUUAUUUAUUUAUUUAUCAGAAACGAAGAAAUACGUAAUAAUAGUAGUAAAUAUACAAAAGAAGCCUCUAUAGUAGUAAGAAAAGGAUGAGAGGUCCUUCCUUCAAAACACAGAAUCUGAUCAAAGAAGAAUGCACCCUUCUACAGAAAACAAUAUACAAAGAAAUCCUCAACUAUCUCAAACUUUUGAAUCACAAACUACAGUCCAAUUGAGUUGUAAAACACUAAGAGGAACUCCUCUAAAAGCUGCAGUGCAAGAGGCCUAAAGAGAGGAAUAGAAUAGAAGUAAAUCCCAUAACAUUCCUUCCGAUCUUCCUUUAUCCUAAAAAAUCUUAGCAUUUUUCUCUUGCCACACAAUCCGCAACAAAGUAAGGCAAGUGGUUCGCCAAAGUGUCUUGCCUCUAAGUGAAUUCCCCAAACAUCUAAAUGCAAUAAUCAUCAUGUCCUCAAUACUCCUUGGUGGAACCCAAUCCAACCCUACUAGAUUGAAGAGUUUGUGCCAAGGCCUAAUAGUUAAAGGGCAAUGAAGAAAAAGGCGGUCAAUCAAUUCCCCAUUUCCUUUGCAUAGAAUGCACCAUUGAGAACAAAGGGAUUUGUAAGGUCUUCUCAACUGCAGCUUGUCAUUGGUGUUUAGCUUCCCAUGUACUACUAACCAAGCAAGGGCCUUAACCUUUGAAGGGGCUUUUGAUUUCCAUAGAAACUUGGCUAGAAAGAGCAAGACAGGAUUUCAGAAAUUUAACUAGGCCAAAAAAAAAAAAGAUUUAACAGUAAACAAGCCUAAUGACGACAAAGACCAAACUCUUGAAUUUGCCAUAGAAGGAGAAAAAUGCACUGAACUAAGGGAGGACAUGAGUUUCUGAAGGUGUUCAAUUUCUGUAUCAGUGAGAUUACAACGAAAAUUAAAAUUCCAAGAAAGUGGAUAGGAAUUACCAAGGACAAUUGAGACGGUGAGGUUUUUCAUAAAAAUAACUCUAUAAAGAACAUGGAGUUGAAAACAUAAAGGUUGAGUACCCCACCAUAGAUCUUCUCAAAAAGGGAUUCUCUCCCCAUUCCUCACCACUAGACAGAUAAAUGGGGAGAAAUCUUGGAAAACUUGAGCAAUGGCCUUUUAAGGACAUCUGUGUGACCAUCUAACCACCAUGUUGGCAUCCCAUCCAUUAUGAUGUGUCCCAUAAAUACUUGCAAUAACCUUAUGCCAAGGACCACUUAUUUCCCUAGGGAACCUUCAAAGCCAUUUCCCUAAGAGAGCAACAUUUCUCAAGGAAGUCUUCCCAAAACCUAAACCUCCCAACUCAUUUAGCUUACAAACAACAUCCCACCUGAUAAGAUGAUCUUUUUUCCUUUCCCCCACCCUAGACUAAAGGAAAUCCCUUUGCAGCUUCUCUAUUUUUGAGGCUAUUGAUAUUGGGAUUUUGAAAAGAGAGAGGAAGUAGCUUGGGAUGUGAGACAGACUUGAUUGAAUUAAAGUAAUCCUCCCCCCUAAAGACAAAAAAGCCUUUUUCCACCCAUCCAACCUUCUUGAUAUUUUCUCAACCACUGGAUCCUAAAAGCCUAUUGACUUUGGGUUCCUUCCUAAUGGAAGACCUAGAUAAGACAAAUGCCACUUUGACACUCUGCAAUCAAGGAUCAAAGCCAAACUAGACAACCACUCUUGGCUUGUAUUAAUACCUGAUAGGGUGCUUUUUUUUUUUAAAUUGAUUUUCAAUUCUGAUACUUGCUUGAAAACCAAAAGGAUUAGCUUGAGGUUUUGAAGGUGUUCCGGAGAGGCUUUAGAGAAAAAAAUGGUGUCAUCUUCAAACUGUAGUAAAGACACUUUAGUUCCAUCCCUACCCACAGUGAAACCCUAAAUUAACCUAGUUUCCUUUGCUCUAAUCAUCAUCCUACUUAGAACAUUUGCUACUAAGGUAAAAAGAAAGGGAAGAAAGGAGGUCUCCUUGUCUCAAAGCCUUAACCCAACCCUUUGCAUUUCCAUUAACUAGGAUUGCAAAACUUGUUGAAGACAAACAUCCUCUCAUCCAAAAUCUCCAUUUUGGGUUAAACCCCUUCCUUUCUAGCACAUGGUCCAAAAAGCCCCAAUCCACAUGAUCAUAGGCCUUCUCAAAAUCAAUUUUGAAGACCACCCCUUCCUCUCCUGAACUCUUUUUCUCAUCCACCACUUCAUUGGCUAUCAACACAACAUCCAAAAUUUGUCUCCCUUCAACAAAGGUUUCUUUGAGAGCUAAAGAUUGUUUCAUGGAGGACUCGGCGUAAACGCCAUGAUAAGACCUUAGCAAUUAUCUUAUAUAAGCUUGUAAUCUGGCUAAUAGGUCUAAAAUCUGAUAUUUUAAAGGUUUGACUUUUCUUGGGCACCAGAGCAAUGAAAGUAGCAUUUGUACUUUGAUUUAUUAUCCCAUUAGUGUGGAACUCUAGAAACACCCUCAUAAGGUCCUCUUUGAUUACAUCCUAACACUCUUGAUACACUGCAAUAGUAAACCCAUCGGGACCAGGGGCCUUUUUCUUAUUCAGUUGGAAAACUGCAAAGCGUACCUCCUCCUCAAAAAAGGGUUUGUCUAGCCAAGAUGCACUCUCUCUAGAAAUAGGGACCCAAUCUAAACCUUCAACCCUCCAAGAAGCACCUGCGGAUUUGGACUAGAGCUUCCUAAAGAAAUUUACAAUCUCCCUUGAAAUAAUUUCAAUGUUGCUUAGAGUCACUCCCUCCUUAGAAACCAAAGACUUAAUGAACUUCUUGUUUCGCCUUCCAUUGGCCACUCUAUGAAAGAACUUAGAGUUGCAAUCCCCUUCUUUUAUCCACUUGAUCCUAGAUUUUUGCCUCCAGUAAACCUCUUCCUUUAACAACAAUUCCUCUAGCUCCUUUCUUUUUAAAGUCCUUUCUAAUAACAAAUCAUGAUUCAAGUUCCCUUCUUGUUCAAAAAGAUCAAUUCUACCUAAGUCUGAAAGAAUGGAAUUUUUCCUCUCUCUUGAAUCUCCAAAGGCCACUUUAUUCCAAUCUUUUAACUUUGAUUUAACAAACUUUACUUUCCUCAUGAACUUAUGACCUUCCCAACCUUCAACUGAACACUCUUGCUACCAAGCACUAAAAUUUUCCUUAAAACUCAAGAUGGAGCAACUGCAUAUUCUCAAACCUGAAAGGAGUUGGGCCCCACUUUAAAGGAUUAGUUCCAAACAAAUUGGGUUGUGAUCUGAGGUCCAUCUAAGAAGCGCCUCUUGAAGACUUUGAGAGAAAAAAAUGGUCCCAUUCAGAUGAGAACAAGAAUCUAUCCAGCCUCUUGCAAAUAGGAACAUCUUGCAUGUUUGACUAAGUAAAAGCCGCGUUCCUAAGAGGGGGAUCAAACAAACCACUCUCCCUUAUAAAAUCGUCAAAACACCCAUGUUCAAUGUUAACCUAGAAGCACCCAAUUUUUCAAAGAUCCUCCCUCCUACACACCAUAUUGGGAAGGUUAGACCAUAUAGGUCUUGUAGUUCCAUCCAGAAAUCCCUCCUCCACAAAGGCUUAUUUGGACCAUACACUGAAGUUAACCAAAAGGAACUUUCUUCACCAGAAUUCAACUUCACAGUUACAGAGAAAGACCCUAACACCAUCUCUGUACACUUGAACUUAUUUGAAUCCUGCAGGAUCACAAUACCCCCCAAAGCCCCACAAGCAAGAAGAAAAACCCACUCUUUGCUUCUUCCUUUCCAAACACUACCCACAAGCCUCCUAUCCUAAAUUUCUCUCUUUGUUUCCUAAAACAUCACAAUAUCUGGAUUUUGAGAACUUAAAAACUUUCUGACAAUCCUCAUUUUCUUUUUGGAGCCCAACCCUCUUGUAUUCCAACUAAUGAUCUUCAUGUAAAUAGAAAAGGGCCUAGCAAAAACCACAACAGACCUAAGCCUCCCCCUUGGAUUCCACAAACAGUCUUUCUCUUCCUUUUGAAAUAGACCUUUUCUGUAGAAAGAGUACUCUUACUCUCCACCACCACACCUUAACUUUCUUUGACAAUUCUAAUCCUCAAACUCUCCAACACCGAUUGAACCUUUACCAUCUUCCUGGGCGUGAGACCCUCAAUUUGAAAGCCUUCCAAUGGGAUAGUGGGAGGUUCUGGAGCUGGGGAGUUGUUGGCCAUUGUAAUGGUUGAACUUAUAUCUAAUUAAUUUUACAACAUUGAAAAAUAAAGGAAGAAAGACCACUAUUAUUUUUAUUAUGUUUAUCAUGUUUAUGUUGAUUAUUAUUAUUAUUAUUAUUAUUAUUGUUAUUAUGUUUAUGCUUAAUUUUAUUGUGUUUAUUAUUAUUGUUUUUGUUGUUAUUAUUAUUAUUAUGUUUAUAUUUAUAUUUGUUAUGUUCAGCAGAAAUAGGCCCAAAAGGAAGGAAAGAAAUAUGAAUCUACCAGUUUAGAGGGUUCAGAAAGAAUCUUUCAAAGAACAAAACAUUUAUUAGCUUCAAACUGAAAUAUUUGAAGUGAAGAAAGAAACCAAAGAAUUAAAAAGUGUGAUGGUGUCGUUGAAAGAAAAGGUUAUAUAACCUUGAGAUAGGAGAGCCAAAAGAACCCUAUGUAAAAAAAGAUACAUAAAUCCCCAUAUUAGCAUCUCCAAUAAAAUGUUUUAUGAUGGAAUAAAUCAGAAUAUUUAUUGUACCUUCCUCAAUUUGAGGAUUUUGCUCUAUUUGACCAUUCAUAUCUGCCAUAAGGGAACCAAAUAAACAUAUGAAUAUUUGGGGAGGUGUGGAAGUAUUUCAGUAAUUCUUCGCUUUGUUGUUUCCUUAAAUGGGUGUUAUUCUUUUUCUUCUUCUUAUCACCAGUAAUAGACUCUGUAAAUUAUUUCUUUUUCACACACAGAGAUGGCAGCAAGUUCUCACCAAUUGUCGGUUUCUUUAUUGAUACCUGUCCCUCAGAGGUUUGAGCAAUAAUAUUUUUCAAUUCUGUUCUAAUUUACUAUGCUAUUCAUUGCCUUGUAUUUUGCAUUGCUAUGGAAUUAUGUAAUAUUUUUUUUUCCUCUAUCUCAAUGUGGAAUUUAAACAAUGACUGAUCACUGUCUUACACUCUUUCUUGUUGAUGCAAUCUGAGUGGUUAAUGACUGAAUGACAUAGAGAACUGCUCAAUCAUGAGAUGGGAAGUCACUCACCCCUCUAAAAUGGGAGUAUCUCUCAUCAUCCAAGCCUUGUUCUUAGUUUUUUGGGGUAUUGCUCUUCCCAUAUUCCAGUGUAAACAAACAUGGAAGAAAAUUCUGUAUAAGCAUAUUAAGUGAAAUGAAAAAAUAAAAAUAAAUAUAAAACAAUCACAUAAAAAGGAAGAAAAUAAAUAAUUUCAAACUUUCAAACUUAGAACUCUCCUUGCAUCUCAUAACUCCCUUAGGACUUGUUAAUGACUAAAUUCUCUAACUAGAGAACACUAAAUACUAGAUGAAUUAGUUUGAAGACGUCACGACUAGAUAAUUGAAUACUCACUUGAAAAUGUUGUCAAAUAGAUGGUGCUUUGCAUGAAACUUGGAUAACCAAAGUGGAUGGGAGAACACACGGAUGUGGGUCUAUUGAACUAGAUCUUACUAGUAAUGUUUUGAUUUAUUUGGCAAUUUUUUGGUAUGUGACAUUUGAAUUAAUGUCUUUGUUAUUACAUGAUAGACAUAGGUAAGUAGUGGAUAAUCUUUUUUUUGUUUUUUGUCUCAUCGACACAACAAUGAUCAUUUUGUCUUCAAAUAAAUAUCUAAAUUGUUAGGAGGCCCACAUGAUUUUUUGUUCUUUGAUGGAAAAUAAUAUAUAUACAUAUUUUUUAUUUAUAAUUUUUAUCAGGACUUUUCCCCUUCCAUCUAUCUUGUGGUAGGGAAUGGGGAGAGAAUUUGAUUCUAAGAAGAUUUAAGGUGGGGAGAUCAACCUUUGAGCUCACAUUUUGCAAGCCUUUACAAAGUUAUUUCAAUGAGAAAUAUUACCAUCUCUGGGGUCCUUGGAAAUUCCUACCUGUUUUCUUGGAAUCUUAAUUUCUAACACAAUCUCAUUGAUUUAGAAAUUGAACUCCUCGAUAGACUGAUGUCUUCACUUAAUUUAGUGCACUUGUCUUUUUCUACCAUAGAUUCAAGAGUUUGGUCCUUAAUCUCCACUGGGUCAUUUUCGAUAAAAAAAAAUUCAUGGUCUUGUUCGAGCCCUCUAAUCCAAUUCCAUUCCUUCCGACUACUUGUGUUUGGAAGCCCUAUCAAAGGUCAAGGCCUUUGCAUGGUUAGUGGUGCAUAAAAAAGUUAAUACCAAUGAUAUGCUACAAGUGAGACGACCCUACAAAUUUCUUAGUUCUCAUUGGUGCAUUUUAUGCAAAGAAAGUGGAUAAAUUGAUCAUCUUUUUCUAAUUGUCCAAUAACAUUGGGGCUUUGACAUAAGCUCUUCAGUGUAGCUAAUUUGGAUUGGGUUCCACCAAGGAGUAUUGGAGAUUUGAUGAUUAUUUCAUUUAAAUGCUUGGGGAAUUCAAUUAGAGGCAAGACGCUUUGACAUAUUGCAUGUAUCAUUGUAUUGUGGGUGUGUAGUAAGAGAGAAAUGUUAGGAUUUUUGAGGAAAAGUGUAGAAUGGAAGGGAUGUUAUGGGAUCUUAUUCAUUUCCACUCCUCUUUUUGGGUUUCUUGUAUUGUCACCUUUAGAGAAAUUCCCCUUAAUGUUAUUCUACUUAGUUGACUUUUGGUUUGUAAUUAGAAAGGGGUAGAUAACUUUUGAGAGAAUUUGGUUUUGAUUUUUGAGAGAUUUUGUACAUGCUUUUAUCAAUAUUUCUCCUUGUACAAUGAAGGGUACACUCUUACUUUGAUCAGGUUUUUUACCUUGUGGGAAGGACCUCUCAUCCUUCUCUUCAACUUUAUCAUUAUCAAUAUAUAUUUUGUUUAUGAUAUAUAGAUAUUUUAUCAUUUUGUCAAUACAACCAUGAUUUUAUGUGUUGAAAUGAGUAUCUGGAAAAUCAGGGGACCAAGACGAUUGGUGGACAGAUGUUCAUGUGAAUUUAUUAAUUCAACAUCAUUUGUUCAAUACAAUCUGAAAACAUUGUGAACUUGAGCACAUACUCUAAUUUAGAUGUUAUUUAAUGGAUAUUUAUACCAAAAUGAUUAUUGACCAGUUAGGGGUGAGCAAAAAAACUUGUAAGCAAUGACUGCAGAAACCGAACCAAGUCAAAUCAAGUUGUUUUUUCUUUCACUUUUCUCAAAUUUUUUUUAAAUUUUUUUUCAAAUUUUAAAUAUUAUUAGGUUAAUUUGAGGAAGUGUAAAAUUUUAGUUUGCUUUACCAGGUUAUUAACCUUUUUAAAUUAAUAAAAAAAUUGAACCAACUGUACACAUUGUUUGUUUUGAUUUGUUGUUUAUUGUGCAAGCCUUUAAAGGUAGUUGACAUUUAGUAUUUUGUGAUGAGAUUUGCCUUGGACCUUGGUUUCCAUUUGUUUAUUAGAUUGAGUCCGAUUUGUAUUAUCACGUGAUCUUGUGAUGUUUUAGAUUGGAUUUUAUGAAUAUUUAUGAAUUUCUAUGUAAAAGAUUUGUAUUAUCAUUUGAGCAUGUGAUAUUUUAGUUUGGAUUAUUAUGCUUGUAAUGUCCUAAAUUAGAUUAUCAUACUUUUGGAUUUUAUAUCAUACAAUUUAUAUUUGAAAACGAGUUUUUGUCAUGUUAUUUUUCUGAAAAAAUUAUUGGCUCAAUUUUGGUCCAAAUGAAAUGAACCAUAUUGAACCAAACUGAACCGAUGGUAAAUUGGGUUCAUUUUGGUUGAUGAAUAAAUCAGUUCUAAUCAGUUCCAACUUAAUUAAAACUUUGGUUCUCUGGUUGCUUAAAAACUGUUCUAAACCAAACUACAGCCACCCUUGCAACAAGUAUGCAUAUGGUAUAUGUGUGUGUGUGUGGUUUUAUGUAUGUAUGUAUGUAUGUAUGUAAAUUUAUAAACUAGGACCAAAUUGAUGAUCACUAUAUAUGUAUAGUUGUAUUUUAUAUGUGUUUAUGUGCUUGUUCAAUGACAUUCAAAUCAAAGUAUGUACUUAAAUUCAAAUACCAAUUGUUUCCUAAAGUGUAUUAUACAUACAUAUGUAUUCAUAUUUUAUAGUAUGUGAAAGAGUACAGAAAUGAUGAUCACCAUUUGCAUAUGUGUGCAUGUUAGUACUUUCCAAAAUGAUAACCAUGCCAGUUCAAUGGAAUAUAUGUAAGAUAAGACAUUAUUAUUUCACAGCACACUGUCAUAUUAUCCAUCUAUGUUGAGAUAAUAUAUAGCUGAUAGGCAGGCUCCUGCACUGUGUAAGCCAUGAAUAUAUUAUAUGAAAAUAUUAUUUCACAAACUUUGUAGAAGAUGUAUUGUCCCCGCAAAAAAUGGCCAGAUGGAUAUUACCUUUGAAUACUUAGUUGAGUUGAUAAUUAUGUGAAUAUUUAUAGAAAAUGUGAAAAAAAGGUUGUUUGUGCAAUGAUAUCAGUAUGUUUGAGAAAGACUAACAUUCUCAUGUGUGAUGGCUGCAACAGGUAAUUGUUCGUAAAUGGGAUCAACAAGAUGAACGAUUAGUGAAACUUUCAGAGGAAGAGGUUUGUGUUCAUCUUAAAUAUGCAUAUUCUCUCUCUCUCUCUCUCUCUGUCUCUCUCUCUCCCCCCUCUGAUUUUGAAACAUAUGCAUGCUAGUCCAGAAAGAGAAUCAUGCCUGAUGCAUUUUGCAUGCCAUAGAUUGGCAUUUUUGCAUUAAUAGUGAGGACCUGUGCUUGAUAAGAAUGAGGGGGAAGGAUUCAGAAACUGCAAUUGUGAAGUGCUAGCCUGAAUUCUUUUUUCCAUUGGCAAGAAAAAAACUAUAGCUGUUGACCUAUUUUCCUUUGUAAGAAAGCUUGAUUGUUUUCUCUAUUUUCGAAUGUUGUCAAAAGCAAAAGGCGAUAGGACUCUUUUUAGCCUAAGGCGAAAGGCGAAAAACAAGGCGAUAACCUAACUAUAGUAAAGCGAUAAAAAAUAUACAUAUAUUUACCCAUUCGAUAUUCAAUCAACAUAAGUAUUGUCUUCAACAAUCAACACUAUUAAUCUUUCAUCACUCACGAUGUCUUAUAAAAUUAACAAAAUAGUAAUAAUUAUUGAAAGUGUUAAAUAUUAUAUCUCAUAUUUUAAAAAACAUCAUAUUGUUUAAAGAUAUUCAUUCUAUCUAAAUGUAUAUUCUAAUUUUUCAAACAUCCAAAAAGCAAAAUAAAAACCAAAAUAAGAGAUUGAACAUUCUAGAGAAGCUUUAGACAUCAUCAUCAUAGUCAUUAUUAAAAUUAAAAUUGUCAUUACUUCCAUCAAGACUGGAUUGAUAACCCUCCAUCUUAUUAUCUCUAUGAUAGAUAAUAUAAUAUUUUAUCUUUUACUUUGUUUAAUCCAAUGUUAGAUUGAAUGAAAUUAUAAUCUAAGUAUGUUUAAUCUUAAUUCAUGGUCAAAGGCGGGGCCUCUAUGCCUUGUACCAUAUCCCAAGGCAAUAGCCUAGGUGUAGCCUCUUUGAAGUUGCCUUGCCUAGGUCUUCAAAAGGUGAUUUUUAUCUACCCUAUCUGGCCUGAUGGCUUAGGCGACCCAGGUGAUCGCCUUUGAUAACACCGCUAUUUUCCUUUUUUUUCUAUAUAGAAAAUGAAAGUUGUCCAUGUAGAAAGGAAAGGGACAGAUGUAGAUAAAUAGGAAGAGUUUUAGUUGUUGAAAAUCAAUAAGCAAACAUGAAGAAUGUAUAAAUACAAUGUGGUGCUGAUUUCUCAGUCCUGCUCUGGAAUUGAGGAAAGUGCUUGAAAUUUCUGAAGAAGUUGUCUAUGGUCAAUGCUUUUUCUUUUUGGUAAUGAAUCAAACCCAAAUUAGCAAUAUUAGCACAUGCUAAAUGUUGAGAAUCUCAAUUAGAUCAUAGAAAUUUUGAUCUGGUUGUUACUUAUUUUUUUAGGGAUAAUAUGUUGUUUUUUAGGGAUAAGUUGUUUAUUUUAAAUUUAUUUUGUUCCUAGAAAUUUAAGCUAUAAAAGGAAGCAUGUUUCCCUUCCUUAUUCAAUUAAUAUAUGACAUUUUUUUAUCCUAUUCUAGAUGGUAUCAGAGUUGACUUAAUUGGUUAUUCCCUUUUUCUUCUCAUUCUUUCCAGUUUUGUUCUUCUUCCCUCUCCGUUUCUGUUGCUACUCCUUCCAUUAUUAUUGGUUCCAAUUCCUUAAAAUUAUCCACAUCCAAUUCUCAUUCCCACUUUGUCUAGAUCACCACAAUCUGCCUUAAUGAGAACAAUUUUCUCAGAUGGUCACAAUUUUUUUGGAUGUACAUUAAGGGCCGAGACAAAAUUGGUUAUUUGACAAGUGACACUCCCUAGCUAUGCCACUUGGGAUGCAGAAAACUCCAUGAUCAUGGCAUGACUGGUAAAUUCCAUGGCGGAGGAGAUUAGCUUGAAUUAUAUGUGUUAUCCUGCUGCCAAAGCUCUUUAGGGCAACACUAUUUAGAUGCAUUUGGACCUUGGAAAUCAGUCCCAAAUCUGUGAGUUACAACUCAAACUAGGCACCAUUCGAUUACCAAAUAUUUUAAUGUGCUUAGGGGUUUAUGGUAGGAUCUUGACUUAUUCAAUGACUAUAUGAGUGGAAAAAUUCGGAUGAUUGUAACUAUUUUAAGAAGAUGGUAGAAAGUUCAUGGAUAUUCAAAUUUUUAGCUGGGCUUAAUGUUGAGUUUGAUGAAGUUCGGGGUAGAAUCAUUGGUUGGAAACCUCUCACUUCUCUAGGUGAAGUGUUCUCUAAAGUGCGUUGUGAGGAAAGCCAGAGGAAUGUUAUGCUUGGGAAGAAGCUCUCUGGACCUAUGGAAAACUUAGCCUUAUUGGGCACUGCAGUAGCGACUUCUCACAAUCCUAAUAACCAGCAUCGUCCGGAUGACAAGCUAAGAGUUUGGUGUGAUCAUUGUAAUAAACCACGCCACACUCGUGAAACCUGUUGGAAAUUACAUGGGAAGCCAACUUAUUGGAAGCCUGUUGAAUGGAAGACUAAUAAGCAAGGUGACUAAUUGUUUCCCUGCUAAAGCACAUGCUACCAAGACACCCUCAUUGAGCAAAGAACAAUUAGACCAACUGCUACAGCUGCUGAAACCUGCUCCGCUGACUCCUGGUACUCCUAUAGCAUCUCUAGCUUAGUCAGGUAGCCUUUCAUGUGAAUAUUCUCCUUCAUUAUUUGCACCUUGGAUUAUAGAUUUAGGUGCCUCUAACCACAUGACUAAUUUAUCUCAUUUGUUUCUCUUAUACACCUUGUUUUGG